UCCCUGGUGGCUCAGCUGGUAAAGAAUCUGUCUGCAAUGCAGGAGACCUGGGUUCAAUUCCUAGGUUGGGAA
rfam:TPA: Bos taurus chromosome 4, whole genome shotgun sequence.